rfam:Mesocricetus auratus contig143380, whole genome shotgun sequence.
ACUUAUCCUAGAUAAAUUGCUUAUAUGUAAAACAAAACAAAAACCACGUGAAAGAGUUGUUUGAAUGGUGAUCGCUCAAAAAAAUAAAAGAAUAAGAAAUAUGUAUUUUGUCAAUUUCCUUGAAAAAACCCUU